rnacentral:lncRNA from 1 species
GACUAGUCACUCUCCCUAAGAGAAGACAUAGCAUGUACUGAUCUUAACGGACUGUCAAUGCCCAAUUGGCAAUCCUAUGAUCAGGAACGUUUAGGGUAUGUAUAUUAAUCUAACUUGUUUAAAUUACAUUCUCCUAAUUACAUCUUGGACUUAUCGUUUAAGCAUACAACAAGUAUAUGAGACGGCUUAAAACAAUAAUCUUUGCCCUUGAUAUUAAACUAGAUUAGUUUAACAUGUGAAAUGUCCGUAAAGUAUCAUCAUAUAAUUGGUUUUAGGGCACAUUUCCAACACCGAGUUAGGGUUUUUUAGGUUUGGUUCUCUAUAAAUAGAUCUUGUAAUUUAGUUUGAGAAUAAGUCAUUCACAAUGUAGUCUCUUAGGGUUUUGUAGCCGUUUCGGCAUCUGAGUUAGUUUAAUAAUAUUCUUAUUAUUUUGUAGUUUUUUUCGUUGCGCACUUUGAUAUUCAACUGAUCCGGCCUCUGCUUUCGUCGUCAUUCCGCCGAGGAAGCUGCAGUUCGAUGAGCUUGCCACGGUUCAUAUCUUUUAGGAGAACACUCCUCUGUUGUUUACAUCACCAAUCUUGCAGCCAGGUACUGUUGAAGUUUGAACCUUUUGGAUUUUGCUGAAAAUUGGGCCACUUUUGGAAUGGGGAGACAGAACGAGUUGCGGGAGCGAGGGGAGGAGUUGCGGGAGUCCGAGUAGGAGUGGUACAUGGCUGACCCUGAGGGUGUGCAAGUGGUGUCACUGCACAGGGCCCCCGAUUUUUCAAUUUUGCAUACAUAUGCAUAUAUAUAUAUAGCUGGAUGUGUAAAAUAUUAAAAGCCUAAGUCUUAGCACAAGUGUUAUUAUUGCUUCUUUACAUCGGCCUAGGGGAUGGGUUUGAAACUCAUCUUCAUCAUUUUUUUCAGUUUAUUUAUAUUAAAUGCAUAUGCUUCCACAAAAUAAUAUAAAAACUCAAACCCUGACCCUCUAAAUAGUUAAGAAAAAACAAUACGUCACCUUUCCACUUGUUGAUUUGUUAAAUUUGUGUGUGCUAUUAGAAUUUAUAGAAGCUCAAUUAAAAACUAAAAUGAUUUUUUUGAACAAAAAAAAUAAAAAAUUAAAUUCUUAGUACUUUUUAGGGCCUCCAAUUCACUUUCGCACAGGGCCCUGAAAUCUCAGGGCCAGCUUUGAUCCUAAUGUCCUUUUCAUUUACAAUUUAAGUAUCUUCUCAAAUUCUACACACAAGUUGAUGCAGUCGAUCACAUGACCACUUUGGAUAUUAAUUUUUAGAACUCCUUCUGUGUAAGUUUAUCUUACAUUAUUGGUCCUAAGUUCGGAUAAAGAAGGAGGGAGAGAGUGUCGAGCAAUUGACAACCGGCACUUCGUUCUUACGUCGUAUCCUUAUGAUAAUGAAUUCUGAAUGAAAUUUCCCCUUUGUAGAAUUAGGCUUUGUUAUUGUUGUUUAAUUUGCGCUUACUAAAAUAUGGGUUCAAAAUUUUAACUUGUACAUGUUUACUGACACAUAUAAUCUCGAUAAAACUAUGAAUUUUCCUUUGAAAGUCCAGAAUCCAAAACUUCAAUUAGAAAUCAAGUCAACUAGAGGAUUAGGUGAUCCGGUUUUCUUGUCCUUCCCCUUUUUCUAAAUGUUGUUGGAUCCCUUGCUUCUAUCAUCCUGUUAAGUAAACAGAAAGAUAAUUAAUGUCAUUUAGCACAUCCAUUGGUGUUUAUACUUUUUAUAAGAAAAUUAAUAUUACAUUUGAUCAACUUUUAUGCCCAACCAUCUUCAUUAUCACCAGUAUUGUACUCCAAUCGCUUCUUCUCUUACAUUGAUAGUUUUUUCAAUAUUUUAUGGAGAAAAAAAACCAGGGUUUUCUUUCGCAAGAAGCAAAUAUAAUGGCAUUAUGAAUGUUAUCCUAUCAAAUUGAAUGUCCUCACCCAUAUUUUCUAAUCUCACUAAUCAUAGUAACCAAACAUGACCUAAGACUUGAACUCAUGAAUCUUUUUAGCACUUAUUUUUAUUUAAAUCAAACGAUGGGAGGUUGAGAGUUGAACAAUCGUUGUAAAUGUGAUGAUAAAUGCUCCAACAUUGAAUUUGUAACCUCUUUAUCAAACUGAACUUUGAUCAUUGACUUUUGUUUAUUAAUCAUUUUUGUCAUUUUCAUCUAAGUUGAGUGCUAAUGCGUAUACGUGACACAACAAAGACUCAUACAUUAGAUGUUUUUUGUUUUUUUAGUGCAACGAUAUAUUUUUUACUAAGGUGAAGGGAAGUUCGGGUAAGUCACACCAUGAACAACCUAAGGUCAGGGCCGGCCCUGAGGGUGUGCAAGUGGUGUCACAGCAUAGGGCCCCCGAUUUUUCAAUUUUGCAUACAUAUGCCUAUAUAUAGUUGUAUGUGUAGAAUAUUACAAGCAUGAGUCUUGGCGUAAGUGUUAUUAUUGCUUCUUUACAUCGGCCUAGAGGAUGGGUUUGAAACUCAUCUUCAUCAUUUUUUUUUCAGUUUAUUUUUAUUAAAUGCAUAUGUUUCCAUAAAAUAAUAUAAAAAUUCCACACAAUAACAUAAAAAUUCAAACUCUGACCCUCUAGAUAUUUAAGAAAAAACAAUACGCUACAUUUCCACUUGUUGAUUGUUAAAUUUGUUUAUGCUAUUAGAAUUUAUAAAAGCUCAAUUGAAAACCAAAAUUAUUUUUUUGAACAAAAAAAUAAAAAUAAAUUAAAUUCUUUGUACUUUUUAGGGCUUCCAAUUCACUUUCUCACAUGCCCUUGAAAUCUCAAGGCCGGCUCUGGUGCGAGAGGAAGAGUGUUGGGGGUGGUAGUUACAACAAAUUAUGAUAAAACCCACAUCAACUUUUCCACAAAUUCAAAAACCGAAGUCCUAAAAUCUGGAAAGAAAAGCAAAACUUUGAAAUUUUGAAUGGGGGCAAGACAAAAUUUUGAAAUUUACAUAGCAGAACAACAUUUUGUGAAAAACCCAAAAGCAAAAAAUGAUGAUGAAAUGAAUCCAAGGGAAAAGAAAGAUGAAAAUUUGGGAAGUAUCAGGAGGACGUUUUGGCUCAAGAGGGAGUAAUGGGGGCCUCUCAUUUCUGUGACGCCAUAGCUUCGAGGUUUUUCGGGACGGUCUUCGUUCUCCUCGAAGUACUUCCAUCUGUACGCCGCCAUCGUCUUCCUCCUCAGGAAUCGAGCUCACAGGACGAAUCAGAGAUUGAGAGAAUUGGAGAAAAGGAAAGGGGUGGGUG